rnacentral:rRNA from 1 species
ACGAGAAAGCGGGGGCAACUCCGCGAGUACAGUGGCGACCGGGUGAGUAACACGUGACUAACCUGCCCUCGAGCGGGGGAUAACCCCGGGAAACCGGGGCUAAUACCGCAUAACAUCCUUGAUACGAAAGUGUUGAGGAUCAAAGGAGCAAUUCACUUGAGGAGGGGGUCGCGGCCGAUUAGCUAGUUGGUGGGGUAAUGGCCCACCAAGGCUGAGAUCGGUAGCCGGCCUGAGAGGGCGCACGGCCACACUGGAACUGAAACACGGUCCAGACUCCUACGGGAGGCAGCAGUGGGGAAUUUUGCGCAAUGGGGGGAACCCUGACGCAGCAACGCCGCGUGGAGGAUGAAGUCCCUUGGGACGUAAACUCCUUUCGACCGGGAAGAUAAUGACGGUACCGGAAGAAGAAGCACCGGCUAA